UUUUUUAGAUAAAAAGCCAUGCAUGCUUUUACAGUAUGAAANUUGGUGAUUUAUAAUAACUUAGCAAAUCGCAAAGUGAAAACAGGCGAUAAAUCAUUCAAGUUUCUGACCUAUCAGCUUUCGACGGUAUGGUAUUGGCUUACCGUGGCAGUGACGGUUAACGGGGGAUUAGGGUUCGAUUCCGGAGAGGGAGCCUGAGAAACGGCUACCACAUCUAAGGAAGGCAGCAGGCGCGCAAAUUACCCAAUUCUAACAGUUUGAGAGAGGUAGUAACAAGAAAUAACAAUACAAGGCAGUUAAAAUGCUUUGUAAUUGGAAUGAUAGAAAUUUAAACCCUUUUUAAAGUAUCAAUUGGAGGGCAAGUCUGGUGCCAGCAGCCGCGGUAAUUCCAGCUCCAAUAGCGUAUAUUAAAAUUGUUGCAGUUAAAAAGCUCGUAGUUGAAGUUCUGCUAAAAGUAACCGGUCUGCUUUUAAUAAAGGUGGUAUCUUGGUGUGUAUUUAGCAAUGAUGUCCUUUGAAGUGUUUUUUACUUUAUUGUAAUAAAGCAUAUUCAGGACUUUUACUUUGAGAAAAUUAGAGUGUUUCUAGCAGGCUAACGCUUUGAAUACUGCAGCAUGGAAU
rnacentral:rRNA from 1 species